GGCAUAGCUCAGUUGGUAGAGCAGCUGAUUUGUAAUCAGCAGGUCGGGGGUUCGAGUCCCUUUGCC
rnacentral:tRNA from 1 species